UGUGGAAAAAAAAAGAAAAAAAAAUGGAAAUUAAGUGUAAAUAUAAAUAUAUAUAUUUAUAUAUUAAAUAGUUUUAUUAAAUUAAUUAAAGAAAAGAAAGAAAAGAAAGGACAAAAAGAAGAAAAGGAGAAGAAAAUUUCAUUUUCUCUUUUCUUCUUCUUCUUCUCUUCCCUUCACCGCCAAGUUUGAAGACAUCCAAGUUCCCUUUAUUUUUUUGUUCUUUUUCCUUCUUCAAUUUGCAGAGAACUUCUAAGAGAGAGUUUGGAAGAAGAAGAGAAAUUUUACUAGAAUUUUUAGGUGGAAGAAGAGGAGGAGAACUCAAGCAAAGUGUAUCAAUGGCUGAAUUUUAGUUCAUUCUGCACAUCACUGGUUUUUAAUUCGGUUUGAACUCUUCAAAAGGAAUUAAGAGAAAACAGGGCAGUUGGUUUUCACUCGAAAUCAGGAGGUCUCUGGUUUUUCUUGUAUUUCAGAGUGUAUCGGUGGAGUUAGAAUUUCUAUUUGGAACAAGUUAAAGAGGUCGUGUGCGCGCGAUUCUGAAGUGGUUCUGUUUUGAGGGUUAUAUGUGUUUAUGCACGGGGAAUCAGAUUUAUAUGUCUUCAGAUAAGUUUUAGAGGAUCUCAAAAUGAAGAGUUUGAUAUAAAGAACACUCAUUUUGGUUAAGUAUUGAGAAAGUUAUAGUUCUUUGAAGUUUAUGUUAGAAAUCUGGAAAUUUUAGAGAAUUGUUGAAAUAGGAUUUUAUUUCUUAAGCUUUGUUUUCGAGCGUCAUCUUUGGUGCGACAUGUUAUGUAUAUCUUUAGGAAACCAGAAUGUUUAAGGUUUUAAUACUCGGUUGGGUUGUUGGCAGGCCGAGAAGAAUUAAACCGAGCUUAUAGACCAAGGAUCUAGCCCAAGACUGUGAGUGACAAAACCAACUUUGAAAUAUUUUCCAUAACUGUUAUUAUGAUUGAAUGCGAUAAAUGUUUAUUUACAAAGCCAUGAAAGGUAUUUGAAUUUCAUGACUAUUUUCAAGUAUACAUUUGAAGACUAGAUUUCUUAAAGAAAUUUAUGCUAGCACGUAGAUAUUAAAUGUUUGGAAAGUAUUUAAACCACAAUAUUUUAAGCAAAGCAUGAAUUAGUAUGAAGUUUUGUUUUAAGAACUACAAUUUUCCACGAAAGAGCUGAGUAAAGUUCGAGCUUUGUGUAAAAUUUAUAAGCAGGCAUGUUUUAAUAUUUUAUAAUGAUUUAUGGAAUUUUCAUUAACUACAUGACUGAGAUCUUGAGCCUGAGGCUAGAGAUUACCGUGUGCACACUGGUUAGAUUUCGUUGUUGACGUUGAGUGUACUCCGUAACAACGAUGCUGUCGUGAGUGCUGGGCGGGCCCCACUACGACAAAGACGAUGGGAGUGCUGGGCGGGCCCCACUACAUCUUAGUGCUUGUAAACGUUGUUGUACUAGGUGUACCCUACACAACGUAGAUUCGUCAUGUUAGUUAAAAUGCUUCGAUAUACUUGAUAUGCCUUGCUAGAUUUCAAUGAUGAACAUGCUGAGUAUUUAAGGAAGCUAUUCUUACUAUUACACAUUUACAUUUACGACUUGUAUAAACAUAUUUAUAUGUGUAAAGUUUUCACGUGCUCUUAUCUUAAAAUUCAUAGUUUUAAACUGAGUCACUCACUGAGCUCCAUAGCUCACCCUUUCCAAAAUGUUUUACCCAUUUUCCAGGUAGAGAUCGACUUCCCGGUGCCUGAUAGACUGCCUUAGUCUGCGGAAGCUUCAUUAUCGAUUGCCAGUACGUGUUUUGAGUUGGGCAUAAAGUCUGUUGUGUUGUGAUGUAUUCACACCCUUGUAUGUUAUAGAUACUCCACAGUUUGUAUAAGCUUUAGGAGCUGUAGUUGUGUAAAUUUUGUUGGUUAUAUUUUGAUUAAGGUGUCUUUAGGUUUACUCGUGAAAUUGGUAAAUUUUGAGGUACACUUCAUGUA